AUUGAUCUUGAGUUGAUAUCUUGAAAGGUUGUAUCUGACAUAACUAAGGAUAAGAAGGUUCUCAAGAAGACCUUGAAGGAGGAAGAGGGGUAUGAACGUCCCAAUGAUGGAGCUGUGGUUCAAGUGAAACAUAUUGGUAAGCUGCAAGAUGGGACUGUUUUCGUGAAGAAGGGUCAUGAUGAUGAGCAGCCAUUUGAGUUUAAAAUUGACGAGGAGCAAGUAAUUGAUGGACUUGAUAAAACUGUGAUGAACAUGAAGAAAGGGGAAGUUGCAUUGGUGACCAUACAUCCUGAGUAUGCUUUUGGCUCAUCUGGGUCAACUCAGGAAUUGGCCACCGUUCCUGCCAACUCCAACGUGUACUAUGAAGUUGAGCUGGUUUCCUUUGUAAAGGUGAGAGAGAAUUGUCUUAUGUUCCUAAUGUUUUAUGGUUCUGACAAUAUUAAAAACAACACUAAUUUAAUAAAAAUGGAAUGCAGGAAAAGAAAUCGUAGGAUCUGAAUACACUAGAGAAGAUAGAGGCAACUGGAAAGAAGAAGGAAGAAGGGAAUGUAUUGUUCAAGGCUGACAAAUAUGAAAGAGCAUCAAAGAGAUAUGAAAAGGUAUUGUACUCCCUGCAAAAAUCUUAGUGAAAUUUGUUGUGAUGUGAGGAAAUUCAGAAUCACAUGAAUAUUUUUUUUUGGGUUUUAAUAUAUAGUUCUCUGUAUCCUUCACUGUAGAGUGCAGUACAGUUGCAAGAUAAGGCUCAACAUGUUCUUUUUUAACUUUUUGUCUAGUUAAUUACUUGCUUGCAAAAACAUCUCAUGCAAUUGGCUGA